rnacentral:rRNA from 1 species
AACGAACGCUGGCGGCAGGCUUAACGCAUGCAAGUCGAACGCCCCGCCAGGGGAGUGGCCGACGGGUGAGUAACGCGUGGGAAUCUACCCAUCCCUACGGAAUAACGCAUGGAAACGUGUGCUAAUACCGUAUACGCCCUACGGGGGAAAGAUUUAUCGGGGAUGGAUGAGCCCGCGUUGGAUUAGCUAGUUGGUGGGGUAAAGGCCUACCAAGGCGACGAUCCAUAGCUGGUCUGAGAGGAUGAUCAGCCACAUUGGGACUGAGACACGGCCCAAACUCCUACGGGAGGCAGCAGUGGGGAAUAUUGGACAAUGGGCGCAAGCCUGGUCCAGCCAUGCCGCGUGAGUGAUGAAGGCCUUAGGGUUGUAAAGCUCUUUCACCGGAGAAGAUAAUGACGGUAUCCGGAGAAGAAGCCCCGGCUAACUUCGUG